rnacentral:rRNA from 1 species
GGUCAAGGAUGAGCUCGCGGCCUAUCAGCUUGUUGGUGAGGUAAUGGCUCACCAAGGCGUCGACGGGUAGCCGGCCUGAGAGGGUGACCGGCCACACUGGGACUGAGACACGGCCCAGACUCCUACGGGAGGCAGCAGUGGGGAAUAUUGCACAAUGGGCGCAAGCCUGAUGCAGCAACGCCGCGUGAGGGACGACGGCCUUCGGGUUGUAAACCUCUUUUAGCAGGGAAGAAGCGAAAGUGACGGUACCUGCAGAAAAAGCACCGGCUAACUACGUGCCAGCAGCCGCGGUAAUACGUAGGGUGCAAGCGUUAUCCGGAAUUAUUGGGCGUAAAGAGCUCGUAGGCGGUUUGUCACGUCUGCUGUGAAAACUGGAGGCUCAACCUCCAGCCUGCAGUGCGUACGGGCAGACUAGAGUGCGGUAGGGGAGAUUGGAAUUCCUGGUGUAGCGGUGGAAUGCGCAGAUAUCCCGAGGAACACCGAUGGCGAACGGCAGAUCUCUGGGCCGUAACUGACGCUGAGCAGCGAAAGGGUGGGGAGCAAACAGGCU